rnacentral:ncRNA from 1 species
UUCUUCGGGGCAGGGUGAUAUGCAGAUGCAUAAAUUCCCUACCGACGGUGAUUCUGAGCGAUCAGAAAGUCCGUGAACUGCAUAUGCAGCUGAUCCGGUGAGAUUCCGGAACCGACAGUAAAGUCUGGAUGGGAGAAGAA